CUACGGGCUGCUGCAGUGAGGAAUAUUGCACAAUGGGGGGAACCCUGAUGCAGCAACGCCGUGUGGAGGAUGACGCAUUUCGGUGUGUACACUCCUUUUAUAUGUCAAGAAAAUGACGGUAGCAUAUGAAUAAGCACCGGCUAACUCCGUGCCAGCAGCCGCGGUAAUACGGAGGGUGCAAGCGUUACUCGGAAUCACUGGGCGUAAAGGACGCGUAGGCGGGUUGGAAAGUCAGGUGUGAAAUCCUACAGCUUAACUGUAGAACUGCACUUGAAACUUCUAAUCUAGAGUAUGGGAGGGGGAGAUGGAAUUAGUGGUGUAGGGGUAAAAUCCGUAGACAUCACUAGGAAUACCUAAAGCGAAGGCGAUCUCCUGGAACAUUACUGACGCUAAGGCGUGAAAGCGUGGGGAGCAAACAGGAUUAGAUACCCCCGUAGUC
rnacentral:rRNA from 1 species